ACCUGUAUGCCAUACCAGUGUCUCCACACUCUUUGGUUAAGAGGACAACCAACCCAUAUGGCCUACAGCGACCUAUGCUCGAUAGAAGCUGUCGUCCUUAUUAACAGCCUAUCAUUUGGUCGUGAACAGUUUUAAGUACUAAUCGAUAAAUUCUCUCUUUAUCGAAUCUAAAUAGUCCUAAGGACUUUAUCAUAACAAC
rnacentral:lncRNA from 1 species